GCAGGGAUAGCCAAGUUUGGUCCACGGCGCUGGGUUCAGAUCCCAGUCCUGUAGGGGCGCGAGGGUUCAAAUCCCUCUCCCUGCA
rnacentral:tRNA from 1 species